GGGCCGUACCGGAUUAUUGGGUUUAAGGGAGCGUAGGCGGUCUGUUAAGCGUGUUGUGAAAUUUCGGUGCUCAACAUCUACAUUGCAUUGCGAACUGGCGGACUUGAGUGCGCGCAACGUAGGCGGAAUUCCUGGUGUAGCGGUGAAAUGCUUAGAUAUCAGGACGAACUCCGAUUGCGAAGGCAGCCUACUGGAGUGUUACUGACGCUCAAGCUCGAAAGUGCGGGUAUCGAACAGGAUUAGAUACCCUGGUAGUCCGCACGGUAAACGAUGGAUGCCCGCUGUUAGCGCCUGGCGUUAGCGGCUAAGCGAAAGCAUUAAUCAUCCCACCUGGGGGGUACGCCGGGUACGGUGAAACUCAAAGAAAUUUGACGGGCG
rnacentral:rRNA from 1 species